rnacentral:lncRNA from 1 species
UGCUGGUUAUUUGCAGCCACACAGCAUAUCCGACCUCUACGAAUCAUUCACAUGAAGCCCUCAUACCAAUCUGCUGUCUUCGAGAGUGCUAGCCCAUAAAAACUACUCUUGAUGGCUGAUCUGAUUGGAUCUUCUUCUCCAAUCACCUCGGACCCUUUCAAAGUUGAAGAUGGAUCAACAGAGGUCACUAGAGAAUAAAGGAAUAGCAAGAAAUUAUCUAGAUCUAAUCUGGAUCUCCCAAUCCAAAACAACUCAGCACCAAGGCUGAACACUCACCAAAGAAGAGAUAGUUCUCUUCUGAUCACAUACCAAAAGCAAAUUCGCCCACC